rnacentral:rRNA from 1 species
AUUGAACGCUGGCGGCAGGCCUAACACAUGCAAGUCGGACGGUAGCACAGAGAGCUUGCUCUCGGGUGACGAGUGGCGGACGGGUGAGUAAUGUCUGGGAAACUGCCCGAUGGAGGGGGAUAACUACUGGAAACGGUAGCUAAUACCGCAUAACGUCUUCGGACCAAAGUGGGGGACCUUCGGGCCUCGCACCAUCGGAUGUGCCCAGAUGGGAUUAGCUAGUAGGUGGGGUAAUGGCUCACCUAGGCGACGAUCCCUAGCUGGUCUGAGAGGAUGACCAGCCACACUGGAACUGAGACACGGUCCAGACUCCUACGGGAGGCAGCAGUGGGGAAUAUUGCACAAUGGGCGCAAGCCUGAUGCAGCCAUGCCGCGUGUAUGAAGAAGGCCUUCGGGUUGUAAAGUACUUUCAGCGGGGAGGAAGGCGAUGAGGUUAAUAACCGCAUCGAUUGACGUUACCCGCAGAAGAAGCACCGGCUAACUCCGUGCCAGCCGCCGCAGUAA